AUCAGAGCUGUUGUGAACAAUGGCGACGUUUCGACUAAAGUGACAUCCUGCUGGGCAAAUGUGUUUUUACACUUUAACGAUAACAUUCUUUUCUAGAUAUUAGUUACGGUCUUUAGGUAUUAGCGUUAAAGAUACUGCGGUUCACGAUGGCAUUAAACGCUAACGCACUGUCCAGUGACAUAAGUCGUAGAAAUCCGCAGGACGAGUAUGAGCUCAUUCAACGAAUAGGCAGUGGAACUUAUGGAGAUGUUUACAAGGCUAAAAGAUUAUCGAUGAACGAUCUUGCCGCCAUCAAGGUUAUCAAAUUGGAGCCAGGUGAUGAUUUUGCUAUCAUACAGCAAGAAAUCUUAAUGAUGAAAGAUUGUAGACAUCCCAAUAUCAUAGCAUAUUAUGGCAGCUACUUGAGAAGGGACAAAUUAUGGAUAUGUAUGGAAUAUUGUGGGGGUGGAUCAUUACAAGAUAUUUAUCACAUAACUGGACCAUUAUCAGAAAUACAGAUAGCGUAUAUGUGCAGAGAGACUCUUAUGGGAUUAGCUUAUUUACAUAGUAUGGGAAAAAUGCAUCGUGAUAUAAAGGGUGCCAAUAUAUUAUUAACUGAGGCAGGUGAUGUCAAAUUAGCCGAUUUUGGAGUAUCCGCUCAAAUUACUGCAACAAUAAAUAAAAGGAAAAGUUUUAUAGGUACUCCUUAUUGGAUGGCACCUGAGGUCGCAGCAGUAGAAAGAAAGGGUGGGUACAAUCAAUUGUGUGAUAUUUGGGCUUGUGGUAUAACGGCGAUAGAAUUAGCAGAAUUACAACCUCCUAUGUUUGAUUUACAUCCAAUGAGAGCUUUAUUCUUAAUGUCCAAAUCUGGUUUUAAACCUCCAACAUUAAAAGACCGUGACAAAUGGAGUCCAACGUUUCAUAAUUUUGUCAAAGUUGCUUUAACUAAAAAUCCUAAAAAGAGGCCAACGGCAGAAAAAUUAUUGCAGCAUGCAUUUUUUCAAGGAGAAAUGAAUAAACGAUUGGCUUUGGAAUUAUUGCAGAAGGUAUCAAAUCCUAGUCAUAUGUUCACCGAUUUAGAAGCUGAUGAAGAUGGAGCAGUACCUAAUGUACCACAAAGAAUUGCUUCAAGGCAUACAGCAAGACCUAGGCCAAAAAGCCCCAUAUCGCAAUUAGAUAGUGACGAUUUAAUUAAUCUCGAUGGAAGUACAUUACAAAGAGAUUCUAUAACUCCUUCGGUAGACACUAAUCCAGCGUGGGAUAUUAUGGAUAUAAUGAAUAAUGUGAAGGCGGUACAUAAUUGUGAUGUUCAUCCUGACUGUGGAAUUGGCACUGCAUUUGAAGAUGUACAAGAAAAUUUUUCACAUACAUCCACUAAUCUUCAUGAUACACUUGGCGCAAAUGUUACUGAAGGUAACAGACGAUCACGCCGAAGCAAAACUGGCACAGAGAUAUUUCAUAUGAGUUUAAGGAGUCUAUUGCAGUACAUUGAUGAGGAGUUGUUGCUAAGGGGAAAUGCAAUGUCGAUGGUUGGUGGGCAUUGCGAUCAGCUAUACUCCCUGCAGGCAACACUUCCGCUUGGAGAAUCUUCAAACGAGUGCGAGGUACAUUGUGGAUACUACAAUAAUGUAUCUGGGUCUCAAGCAAGUCCUAGACGUCACAGUUCUGUAGACGAGUUAUAUGGCCUGGUAAACAGUUCUCAUUCCUUAACAGCUGUGAAUGGGCAACGUCAAAGGUCACUUUCAGAUAGUGGUCCUAGAGAUGAAUCUCUACAAUCUAAUGGGGAUAAUGAAAUAUCAGGAGAUGGGGAAAGAGAAAGUAUUAGUCCGGAUCUUUUAUCAGAUACACCACCUGUACCACCAAGAAGAAGGGAUAGAAAAAGGCAUACACCUCCAAGACCUAUAAGUAAUGGAUUGCCACCAACUCCGAAGGUUCAUAUGGGAGCAUGUUUUUCAAAGGUAUUUAAUGGUUGCCCUUUGAGAAUACAUUGUACAGCUAGUUGGAUACAUCCUGAUACAAGAGAUCAACAUUUACUUAUUGCUGCAGAGGAAGGAAUUUAUAAUUUAAACUUAAAUGAACUCCAUGAAACUGCAAUAGAUCAAUUGUAUCCUAGACGUACAAUUUGGAUGUAUGUUAUCAAGGAUGUCCUAAUGUCCUUGUCCGGAAAAACACCUCAAUUAUAUAGACAUGAUUUAUUAGCAAUGCAGAGCAAACAGACUCAUAGGUUCUCAUUGCAUAUGAACAAAAUACCCGAGAGAUUAGUACCUAGAAAAUUUGCACUUACUACAAAAGUACCAGAUACUAAAGGUUGCACUAAGUGUUGCGUAGGAAGAAAUCCAUAUAAUGGAUAUAAGUACCUUUGUGGGGCAAUGCCAGCAGGAAUAUUUUUAAUGCAGUGGUAUGAUCCUUUAAACAAAUUUAUGCUUUUAAAGCACUUUGAUUGUGCUCUUCCAUCACCUUUAAAUAUAUUUGAAAUGAUUAUUACACCUGAAAUGGAAUAUCCAAUGGUGUGUGUAUCAGUCAAACAACCAUAUCAACAAAAUAAAUUAAAAUUGGAUUUAAUUAAUAUGAAUUCUGGAGCAAGCUGGUUCCAUAGCGAUGAGUUAGAGGAUAUGGAUGGUUCAGCAACUGUGAUACCGAGAAGAGAAAAUCUUCAUGUCAUUAAUGUGACACAACUUGAAAAGGAUGCAAUACUUGUGUGUUAUGAAAAUGUAGUUAAGGUGGUUACGUUACAAGGAAAACUCAGGGUAAGCAAGAAGCAGAUGUCGGAACUGCAUUUCAAUUUUCAGAUAGAAUCAAUUAUUUGUUUACCAGAUAGCGUAUUGGCAUUCCAUAAACAUGGUAUGCAAGGUAGAAGUUUUAAGAAUGGUGAAGUUACACAGGAAAUUAGUGAUCCAAGCAGAACAUAUAGGUUACUUGGUUCGGAUAAGGUUGUAAUGUUGGAAAGUCAUUUGGUUCACACAGGCACAUUGACAGAGACUGAAGGAGCAGAUUUAUAUAUACUUGCUGGGCAUGAAGCCAGUUAUUGAGCAUCCUCUCUUUCAUCUUAUUAUGUAAAUAAACAAGCCUAUCAUGCCGCAAGUGAAUUGUGAUUCACUGUUGAUUACAUACAAAUGCAAUGAUUUUACUGAAAAGAAUGUUGGAAAUUGAUCACAUUUUAGAGACAGCUGAAUUGACUAGACUACAGUCUCUACAAAACGAAUAAGAGUGAUCAGCAUUUUUAAGGCAACUAGCACAAAGUGAUUAUGAAAACUUAACACACGUAACUAUUACAAUUAAGCUAACUAUGUCAUCAAUUUUAAUUAAUUAGUACGAGUCAUUGAUAAUGUACAUUUUUUUCUUUCUUUCUUUCUUUCAUUUUUUUUUCUUUUUUUUUUUUUAACUCUCUAUAACGCCACGUAAUUCUGAAAGCCACGUGCACUCAUAAUACAUAUCUAUUUUGUUUCAACGUUACAAAAUAUUUUACUAAGUAUAAGUUAUACUUAGUACGUGUAAUAUAGUUAUAUUAUAAGUUUUACAUUAUAUAAAUAUUUUUUAUAAAUACAAAGUAAAAAAAGUAUGAAAGAAAAUAUAGAAUUAUAGAGAGUUAAUUGUAUCAAAUAGGAAGAAUUAGUAAAUUUGUAUGAAUUAUUAUUUUAUUUGAGCACAGUUUUUUUUUUAAUUCAUUAAUUGGCAUAAUUCCAAGUCGAAAGAUUUAAAUAGAAGAUAAUGUAACGCUCAAGUCCGCGAAUACAUUUAUACAUAUAUUAUUAUCGUAUUAGUAUCGAUUUGUUUCGCAUAUUUAUUUAUUUUUUCCGCAUUAUAUAAAAAAAAAAAAAAAAAAUAAAUUUAAUCGAAGGAUAAGAUAGAACAAACGUGGAGAAUUUUCUAUACACAUAUAUAUAUAUAUAAAUUAUCUUUCGUCAUCGAAGUCUAGCACUUUUCCACCUCUCCCUUUUUUUCUCUAUUUUCCAAUUCAUAAUAUAGUGUAUGUGCAUUAAUAUUUAUUAGCUAUGAUAGGAGUCAGGCAUACGCAAUAAUGAAUUAAAAAUAAAGGAAAAAAUUACAGGAAAAAAAAAAGAAAAAAAAAGAAAAAGAAAAAAAGAAAGAAAGAAAGAAAAAGAAACGGAAAACAAACAGAAAGAGAAUUGUGUAAAAAAAGUAUUGUCGGACAAAACGAAGAAGAAAAAUUAUCUCUGAGAUGUUGAAAUAUUUCGGUAUUUUAUAUGAAAUUUUGCUCUGUACAUAGGAUAUAGACGACUGAAGAAAG